AUGUUUAUUUGGUACUAUACCUGGGGGAAAUCUAUUUACCGGCCGGCUGACUACUACAAAUUCUUCUUCCGAGACGCCAACGCCCACCCAGCCUUCUCCUUGCUCUGGCACUCUCGUUGCAUCAUGCGGAUCAAAGUCUUCGGUUGGCUGCUGAUGGUCGACCGUCUAAACACACGUGACAUGCUCAAGCGUCGACAUUUUGACAUAGGUGACGACCACAGCUGCCUGCUCUGCGGCAAUCAUGACGAAGAAACUGUGGAUCAUAUGAUAUUUACUUGCACAUUCAGUCAAGCUUGCUGGCGUAAACUUGGGAUCAGCUGGCCACCCUUCACCUGCCGCAUACAACUACUUCAACAGGCUAAACACUCCUGGGGACGUCCAUUAUUCUUUGAAACCUUCCUGGUAGCAGCCUGGAGUCACUGGAAAGAAAGAAACAACAAACAUUUCAGGAGGAUUACGCCAACUGUCGGUGGGUGGCUGAAUAGAUUCAAGGAAGACUUUGGUCUCCUCCAACAUAGGACUAGGGGGAGUCAUCCUGCUUUUAUUUCUUCUUUUGUUUCUGAAUUGAACUAA
rnacentral:rRNA from 1 species